rnacentral:rRNA from 1 species
AUUGAACGCUGGCGGCAGGCCUAACACAUGCAAGUCGAACGGUAACAGGAAGAAGCUUGCUUCUUUGCUGACGAGUGGCGGACGGGUGAGUAAUGUCUGGGAAACUGCCUGAUGGAGGGGGAUAACUACUGGAAACGGUAGCUAAUACCGCAUAACGUCGCAAGACCAAAGAGGGGGACCUUCGGGCCUCUUGCCAUCGGAUGUGCCCAGAUGGGAUUAGCUAGUAGGUGGGGUAACGGCUCACCUAGGCGACGAUCUCUAGCUGGUCUGAGAGGAUGACCCGCCACACUGGAACUGAGACACGGUCCAGACUCCUACGGGAGGCAGCAGUGGGGAAUAUUGCACAAUGGGCGCAAGCCUGAUGCAGCCAUGCCGCGUGUAUGAAGAAGGCCUUCGGGUUGUAAAGUACUUUCAGCGGGGAGGAAGGGAGUAAAGUUAAUACCUUUGCUCAUUGACGUUACCCGCAGAAGAAGCACCGGCUAACUCCGUG